AUGGAAGACUGCAAUGAGACUUCGACACCUGCUGAACCAAGACUGCAACUGUCGAAAGACUCAUAUGAAGAUGAUAUCGAUCCAACACAGUACAGAAGACAUAUUGGGUCAUUAAGAUACAUUUGUCACACAAGGUAUGAUAUAGCUUAUAAUGUAUGUAUGGUGAGUAGAUUCAUGCAGAAGUCAAAGGUAUCACAUCUAAUAGCGACAAGGAGGAUACUAAGGUAUCUCAAAGGAACUCUCAAUUAUGCCAUUUUGUUUCCUGCAAAUGAUAAAGGAAAAGAAAGCAAGCUAGUGGGUUACAUCGAAUCGAGUUGGUGUAGUGAUGUUGAGAAAAUAUACCAAAAAUUUCCCUAG